UAUUUACAGGCUUAACACAUGCAAGUCGAGGGGCAGCAUUUUAGUUUGCUUGCAAACUGAAGAUGGCGACCGGCGCACGGGUGAGUAACACGUAUCCAACCUGCCGAUAACUCCGGAAUAGCCUUUCGAAAGAAAGAUUAAUACCGGAUAGCAUACGAAUAUCGCAUGAUAUUUUUAUUAAAGAAUUUCGGUUAUCGAUGGGGAUGCGUUCCAUUAGUUUGUUGGCGGGGUAACGGCCCACCAAGACAACGAUGGAUAGGGGUUCUGAGAGGAAGGUCCCCCACAUUGGAACUGAGACACGGUCCAAACUCCUACGGGAGGCAGCAGUGAGGAAUAUUGGUCAAUGGGCGAGAGCCUGAACCAGCCAAGUAGCGUGAAGGAUGAAGGCUCUAUGGGUCGUAAACUUCUUUUAUAUGGGAAUAAAGUUUUCCACGUGUGGAAUUUUGUAUGUACCAUAUGAAUAAGGAUCGGCUAACUCCGUGCCAGCAGCCGCGGUAAUACGGAGGAUCCGAGCGUUAUCCGGAUUUAUUGGGUUUAAAGGGAGCGUAGGUGGAUUGUUAAGUCAGUUGUGAAAGUUUGCGGCUCAACCGUAAAAUUGCAGUUGAAACUGGCAGUCUUGAGUACAGUAGAGGUGGGCGGAAUUCGUGGUGUAGCGGUGAAAUGCUUAGAUAUCACGAAGAACUCCGAUUGCGAAGGCAGCUCACUAGACUGUCACUGACACUGAUGCUCGAAAGUGUGGGUAUCAAACAGGAUUAGAUACCCUGGUAGUCCACACAGUAAACGAUGAAUACUCGCUGUUUGCGAUAUACAGUAAGCGGCCAAGCGAAAGCAUUAAGUAUUCCACCUGGGGAGUACGCCGGCAACGGUGAAACUCAAAGGAAUUGACGGGGGCCCGCACAAGCGGAGGAACAUGUGGUUUAAUUCGAUGAUACGCGAGGAACCUUACCCGGGCUUAAAUUGCAACAGAAUAUAUUGGAAACAGUAUAGCCGUAAGGCUGUUGUGAAGGUGCUGCAUGGUUGUCGUCAGCUCGUGCCGUGAGGUGUCGGCUUAAGUGCCAUAACGAGCGCAACCCUUAUCUUUAGUUACUAACAGGUGAUGCUGAGGACUCUAGAGAGACUGCCGUCGUAAGAUGUGAGGAAGGUGGGGAUGACGUCAAAUCAGCACGGCCCUUACGUCCGGGGCUACACACGUGUUACAAUGGGGGGUACAGAAGGCGGCUACCUGGUGACAGGAUGCUAAUCCCAAAAACCUCUCUCAGUUCGGAUCGAAGUCUGCAACCCGACUUCGUGAAGCUGGAUUCGCUAGUAAUCGCGCAUCAGCCAUGGCGCGGUGAAUACGUUCCCGGGCCUUGUACACACCGCCCGUCAAGCCAUGAAAGCCGGGGGUACCUGAAGUACGUAACCGCAAGGAGCGUCCUAGGGUAAAACUGGUAAUUGGGGCUAAG
rnacentral:rRNA from 1 species